rnacentral:rRNA from 1 species
GUGAACGCUGGCGGCGUGCUUAACACAUGCAAGUCGAACGGACUUAAGGGGCUUGCUUCUUAAGUUAGUGGCGCACGGGUGAGUAAUAUAUAGCUAACCUGCCCUUUAGUGGGGGACAACAGUUGGAAACGACUGCUAAUACCCUAUACUCCUUCUUACUAUAAGGUAAGUUGGGAAAGAUUUAUCGCUAAAGGAUGGGGCUUUAUUGUAUCAGCUAGUUGGUGGGGUAAUGGCCUACCAAGGCUAUGACGCAUACCUGGUCUGAGAGGAUGAUCAGGCACACUGGAACUGAGACACGGUCCAGACUCCUACGGGAGGCAGCAGUGGGGAAUAUUGCACAAUGGAGGAAACUCUGAUGCAGCAACGCCGCGUGGAGGAUGACGCAUUUCGGUGUGUAAACUCCUUUUAUAGGGGAAGAUAAUGACGGUACCCUAUGAAUAAGCACCGGCUAACUCCGUGCCAGCAGCCGCGGUAAUACGGAGGGUGCAAGCGUUACUCGGAAUCACUGGGCGUAAAGGAUGCGUAGGCUGGAAAUCAAGUCGAGAGUGAAAUCCAACGGCUCGACCGUUGAACUGCUCUCGAAACUGGUUACCUAGAAUAUGGGAGAGGUAGAUGGAAUUAGUGGUGUAGGGGUAAGAUCCGUAGAUAUCACUAGGAAUACCGAUUGCGAAGGCGAUCUACUGGAACAUUAUGGCGCUGAGGCA